rnacentral:rRNA from 1 species
GUUUGAUCAUGGCUCAGAACGAACGCUGGCGGCAGGCCUAACACAUGCAAGUCGAGCGAACCCUUCGGGGUUAGCGGCGGACGGGUUAGUAACGCGUGGGAAUAUACCCUUUGGUACGGAAUAGCCUCGGGAAACUGAGAGUAAUACCGUAUGUGCCCUUCGGGGGAAAGAUUUAUCGCCAAAGGAUUAGCCCGCGUUGGAUUAGAUAGUUGGUGGGGUAAUGGCCUACCAAGUCUACGAUCCAUAGCUGGUUUGAGAGGAUGAUCAGCAACACUGGGACUGAGACACGGCCCAGACUCCUACGGGAGGCAGCAGUGGGGAAUCUUAGACAAUGGGCGCAAGCCUGAUCUAGCCAUGCCGCGUGGACGAUGAUGGCCUUAGGGUUGUAAAGUCCUUUCAGAUGGGAAGAUAAUGACGGUACCUCUGAAGAAAGCACUGGCUAACUCCGUG